ACCCCCAAAAGAGAAAGAAACUGGUGUUUUAGUGCUGGAUGAUAGAGCCAUAUAUUUACAGUUAAGGGAGGCGCCUCUUCCCCGCAGCCAACCGCUUUACCGACCAGCCACGAGCUCUUCCACGCCUCCAGCGCCCGCGCCCAAACAAGGACCGCGCAUGCGCAUGCGCCUUGCGUUUUGGAGGGGACGAGCAGUGGGCGGGGCUCCCGCUGCAAGUGGGCGGGGCGCAGAGGCGUUCCUCUUCUGUCCUUCAGUACAAGGCGGCCGGCCGCCGAAUAGUGGGCGGGGCCUCACCCCCGAAGGGGCGGAGCCUCCAUUGGAGUCCAGUGGAAGGAGGGUGGGCUUGGAGAUCUGCAAUAAAGGUCUUUGCACCAUUAUUCUACUGAAACAUCAAGUGAGGGAACUCACGUCAGAAGGCGGAGAGUGGUGUUGCCCAUCAGCGAAUCCAGGAUAUUAUCCAAGCCGCUGUCCGUGAUGCCUGUGAUAUCCAGGUAGAGCUCUUCAAGGGUAGUGUUAUACUGGAGAGCAUCCCAUAAGCUUCUCACUCCCUCUGAGCCCAGGCAGUUCCCACAAAACCUAUUAGGAUGUGUACAUGGGAGAAAGAGAAGGAGCACAAAAUUUAACAAGAGGGACCACAUACAACAUUUCUAAGAGAAAUCCUUCUUGGUGGCUUCUCCCAAGUUAUGGAACUCCCUCCCCAAAGAGAUCCAACUGCUGUCUUUCUGUCAGCAAGUUAAUAUUUUCUUUAUUGAAGCAUUUCAAGUUCAAGUUCACUUUACUAUGGUCAAUGACCAACUCAUUAUUGAAGCAUUUGUUUUUAGCAUGUUGUGACAGAUAAUGUUUUUAAUGGAUUGAAGUUUAUGUUUCACUGAAUUUUAUUAUUUUUAAGCAUCUUGGAAUCGCCCAAAGCACACGUGUAAAAUGCAAGGCUUGCGGGCCAGAUCUGGCCCACCACAUAAUUGUAUGCCUACGAGGUUCUCAAUACCAGGGCAAGUUACAUUUAUACAGUCCUUAUACAAGGUGGGAUAAGCUGCAGCAGUUGUCUUUUACCUGAUCCUAAUCUGUUGAGGCCAACCUUUAGACGUCAACCUUCUAGAGCAACAUACUAGAACUUUGCUCAUCUAGAUGUUUUGGAUUUAUAACUCUCAGAAACUCCAAACAGUCUAGCCAAUGGCCAGGGAUUUUAGGAGCUGAUGUUCAAAACAUCUGGCACAUCCAAAUGGGGUAAAAAAAAAUCACAACAAAAGUUUGGGGGAGAAGAGACAGACAUCACUCACAGCAGCCGUUUUACUCGACACUCCGGGGACCUCAGUAUUGCAGCUUCUAUUGCCGCUGCCUCCUGAUCCAGGGAAUUGUAGCGUAUUCUGGAAACAAAGAGACUAAUUCAGAAUGCAAACAUAGAUACCCGACCUUCCCAAUCUUAUCGAAAGGUAAGACAUUGUAGGCCCACCCUAACAGAAGUUAGACCAUCUUCAGAUGCCUCCAUAUAGAAAGGAAGAGUGUGCACCUUCCACUAGCAUUGGCCCAAGAUGUUUUUCUAAACGAAGACCAAAACAGUUUUUGCUCCUACUGAAGUGGCCACCACCACUACCAAAAAAAGGGGAAAGAAUUGGCCUUAGGAGAGAAUCUGAAGGCAGCAGGAACAUAGGGCAAGCUAUGGAACAUAGGGCAAGCUGAGAGGUACACAGCUGUCUCCUCCAACACCUCCCUACUGAAUCUCACCAUUUGUUACUGGGGCCUCUUCAUCUACACAAGGAUAGCAAUAUCUCUCCCCUUUAAAUACCAUGGCUGCAUGACAUGGAAUCCUGGGAUUUGGAGUUUGUGCCUUAAUGGGGUGAAUUUUGUUGGGAAUCACCCUGGACUACUCAAGUCUAAAUGUAGUUAGAUAGAUGAUAGAGUUAGAUUGAGUGAAUCCUUUCCCUGUUUCCAAAGCGUGCCCAAACAGGCUUUACUGUGUUUCACUCUAUCCUGUUUACAUCACAUCCCUUACUUUGAAGUUAGUAGAAAUAUGAAUCUUUAGGGACACUAACUUCUCAUUGGUCAGAAUAUCUUUUAUGGCCCCAAUAAACUGGACCAUGAGGUUGGAACCAUUUUGGUUCAGUCUCUUCUCCCUUUGUUCUUCUAGCUAACAAGCAUCAUCUUACUGUCUCUCCUGGCAAGAUGUAACUAUUUAGAUGUUUGUUAUUUUUCCUUUCUUAUUUUUCCUUAGAAACCAGUCUAGAGUAGACUAGACAGCUCCCAAGCCUUUCUAUCUACAAUGGAAUUCUUUUUACCUGAAUAAAUGUUUUUGAAUUUUUACUGAGACUCUGCAGUCCAUUGCAAUCCUAAAUGGUCAAAGGCUUCUCUUUGCUCGCCCUGUGUAAGUAACUGUUGCAUUUGAAAGCUUUUGCUUUUGCUACUCUGCUGCAUUUUGGUGGAAUCUCCCCCAGAGAGGGUUAAAUUGAGUCUAACUGUUCAGAGAUUACCACAACAAAUUUAGUGUCCUAGCACACUUUCACCCCAUCUAAUGGACAGAGCCCCACAUGACAUCACUUGACAUCAUGUGGCUUCCAGCAGAAGUCUCUUGACAUAGCUUUCCCACAAUAUGGGAGGUAUGAGGCCUCAACAGAAAGGCAACACUUUUCCCAUGUGAUGGGGAAAGCAUUGCUGAGUAGGAGCUGCUCAUGGGAUGACAGAUUCGCC
ensembl:lncRNA